GAGCUCUUAGCCUGCAUGCCUUGGUGAGGCAAAACGUAGCAGUACUAUUCAUCUACUAGUAUAUUUUACUUCAUAUUUGCCAUAGAGAAAGAACGUUCUCCCUGUUACCACAGCUAAGGUGCAGGAUGAUGCCUUUGUAAAAAUUGUGGUUCUGCUGCAGCUGGACUGUUGUUCUGUUUGGAUUCGUCCUUUGGCUGAUGAAGUCUGUGUUGCGCAGUGAGUGCACCUCAGCUUUCCAACAGAGAUGUUUUUGCACGUUUUCUUACUGGACCUGUCAAAGUUCAUAUUAUCUGUAAGGAUGAAAGGGCAAUUAGGAGAACACAAGAGCCUCGAAGUAGUGAAAUUCAGUAUGUUAAAAAGACUGUGAGCCAAGAUCAUAUCUGUCACCACAGAUAGAAGAACAUGAAGUUCAGACAACUUAAAAUGUUUAUUCAAGAACCUUUCUUAGGCAUAUCUUUCCAAUUUAAGAACUUUAUCCCCCCUGCCAUAUCUACAGUCAUCCUAAGUG
rnacentral:lncRNA from 1 species